rnacentral:antisense_RNA from 1 species
UAUAGUUAAGAUUAAGUAAAUAUGCAACUUGAAUAUACUUCCAGUUUGGAUCUGAUUUUCUAUCAAGUAGAGAGCCGGAAUACUGAUCAAGAAGUUCAACCAUAUUUAUAUGAGGAAUUUCAAUACUAGCAACAGCACGAUUAACCCCUUUCUUGAAUUCAUCUCUGGAAAUGAGAGGAGUGACAAGAGUAAAGUACUUAUUAUAGAAUUGUACUGCCAAACUAGUUAACUUGAUGAUGCUAUAUUCUGGUGAGGAAAUCAUGAUUUUGAGCAACAAAUAGCUUGUUCCUAUACUAUAGGGAGAAAUUGCAAACUCAGUUUUUGGAUACUCUGAAGAUGUAAACUCUUUGAAUGCGUUUUUAAUAUCCAAGUUCACCACAAGCUGUAAAAAUGCGAGCAUUUCUUCUGAAUAUUUACCAACCUGGACUUCCAUAUAUACAACAGAAAGAUCUUCAUUUGAAUUAGAGCAUUGCUUAAGAUAAAAUAUAUCCUUAUAUUCAACAGGCAAAGAGUCCAUAUUUAUCCUAUUAAUCCAUUUUCCUUUAUAACUUCCUUCUGGUAAGAAUGCUUUUUCUGAGUAGUCA